UACGGAGGGAGCUAGCGUUGUUCGGAAUUACUGGGCGUAAAGCGCACGUAGGCGGCUUUGUAAGUUAGAGGUGAAAGCCCGGGGCUCAACCCCGGAAUUGCCUUUAAGACUGCAUCGCUUGAAUCCAGGAGAGGUGAGUGGAAUUCCGAGUGUAGAGGUGAAAUUCGUAGAUAUUCGGAAGAACACCAGUGGCGAAGGCGGCUGCACUGGAGCUGGUAUUGACGCUGAGGUGCGAAAGCGUGGGGAGCAAACAGG
rnacentral:rRNA from 1 species